rnacentral:rRNA from 1 species
ACUCAAAUGAAUUGACGGGGACCCGCACAAGCGGUGGAUGAUGUGGUUUAAUUCGAUGCAACGCGAAAAACCUUACCUACCCUUGACAUGCCAGGAACCUUGCAGAGAUGCGAGGGUGCCCGAAAGGGAGCCUGGACACAGGUGCUGCAUGGCCGUCGUCAGCUCGUGUCGUGAGAUGUUGGGUUAAGUCCCGCAACGAGCGCAACCCUUGCCAUUAGUUGCUACGAAAGGGCACUCUAAUGGGACUGCCGGUGACAAACCGGAGGAAGGUGGGGAUGACGUCAGGUCCUCAUGGCCCUUAUGGGUAGGGCUACACACGUCAUACAAUGGCCGGUACAGAGGGCUGCCAAAGCGCGAGCUGGAGCCAAUCCCAGAAAACCGGUCGUAGUCCGGAUCGCAGUCUGCAACUCGACUGCGUGAAGUCGGAAUCGCUAGUAAUCGCGGAUCAGAAUGUCGCGGUGAAUACGUUCCCGGGUCUUGCACACACCGCCCGU